AUCUAAUUAAGGUUUGUAAUUAAACCUAAUAAAUGAACAAAUAUUAAGUUUAUUAAGAUACAUAAUUUAUAUGUGUGCCUUAUGAUAUUUGUUUUAGUUUGUUAGUCACCAAAGUGGCCAAACUAAAAUAAAAUAAAAUUAAUAGUUUGUCAGUCACUAAAGUGGCCGAACUAUGAAUGAUGUUUACAUGCAUAUAAAAAUUAUCAAUUAUCCAUACUAAUAGAUGCCUAUGAUGAAAAGUGGAUUAAUUGAUACUUACUAGUCAUCAGAACUUAAGAUUUUACCCAAAGAUAAAUAAAUUAUUAUAUGAUAGUGAGAAUUAUGAGGACAAUAAUAUUUUAUCAAAUAUAUAUUGGAUGUCAAAAGACAACACUUAUAUUUGAUAUAAGUUAAUUAUUAUCUAAUCAAGUUUAAAGGCAUUUAAUUUAGGAUAGUAUAUUAUAGUAUCUACCUAAAGGAGAACUAUAGUAUAUUCUAAUUGUUAAAGUUACCUGAAUCUAUUUUGAGCAUAUAAAUAUCAUAUUGCAGCUUUUUCUCUUCAUUCGCAAGCUUAAUCUCUUAUUGUUUUAAUGAAUUGAACUUCUUUGAAUGGUGUGAGCAAGUCAAGUUCCAAUUAGUGUCUUGGACCUUAACUUGGCUAAUUCGAUGCUAUUAUGGAUAUAAGUAGUGAGGAAGAGAAGUUAUACCAUAAGCAAUGAGAAUCAUUAAGCAAAUUAAGCCUUAUGUUUUUUUUGUGAAUAACUAUUGCUAACAACAUUAGGACUACAAUUCUAUCGGGUGAAAAUAUAAAAGAAUACCUUAAACUCAUGAAAGAUAUGUUCUAUUUUGAAGUUAAGUUACUCACUGGUACUCUAAUGGCAUAACUCACGACCAUAAAGUAUGAUGGGUCAAAAAGUAUGCAAGAACACAUUAUUGGAACAAGUGAUAUUGCAGCAAAAUUAGAAACUUUAAGAAUGAUAGUUGAUGAUUCUUAAUUCUGUAUGUUUAUGAUAUCUUGUUUGCUGCAAAUGAUUUGUGCAUAUUACGUGAGACUAAAGAUUUUCUCUCAAUGAAUUUUGAAAUGAAAGAUAUGAGAGAGGCAUCCUUUGUUAUUAGAAUAGAAAUAUUCCGUAAUAGAUCAUAAGGACUGUUGGGAUUGUCUCAGAAAGCCUAUAUCGAUAGAAUUCUAGAGAGAUUUAAAAUGCAUAAAUAUUCAGCAGGAAUUAUUCCCAUACAAAAAGGGGACAAAUUCAGUCUCAAUCAAUGUCCAAAGAAUGAUGUGGAACGUAAAGAAAUGGAAUCAAUUCCUUAUGCUUCAAUUGUGGACAAUUUGAUGUAUGUUUAAACCUGUACAAUUCUUUAUACUGGAAUUGAUAACUAGAAAGCUGCAAAGAAAGUUUUAUAGUACCUGCAAUAAACUAAAGAUUUCAUGCUCACUUACAGGAUAUCUAAUUAUUUAGAAGUAAUUGGAUAUUUAGAUUCAGAUUUAGCUGGAUGUGUUGACAAUAAAAGUUUAUUUCAGCUACUUGUUCUUAUCAGUUGAAGGAACAAUAUUAUGAAAAAAUGCCGAAAAAUAGUUUGUCAUUAUUUCAUCCAUUAUGAAAGCAAAAUUUAUGGCAUGUUUUCAAGUUAUAAUUCAUGCAUUAUGGAUGCGGAACUUUAUCUCAGGACUUGGGGUAGUCGACACCAUUAGCAAGCCGCUGAGAAUUUAUUGUGAUAAUUCCGCAGCAGUAUUUUCUCCAAGAACGACAAAUAUUUGAAGGGUGCCAAACAUAUAAAAUUAAAGUAUUUUGCCGUUAAGAAGGAAGUUCAGAAAAGAAGAGUGUUUAUUGAGCACAUUAAUAUUGAUCUCAUGAUUGCAGAUCCAUUGACUAAAGGCUUACAACCUAAGACAUUUAAAGAACAUGUGCUUAGAAUAGGUCUUGGUUGUAUUAAUUAAUGAUGUAUUGGUUUUGACACUCUGAGCUCAUUGAUGUGUUUCUGAUAUACAUUAAAGUAUUUCCUAUUUCUCAUAAUUGUGUGCACAUAAUAUUUUGAGUGAAUGAUAAUAGGAAAAGUCUUUUGAGACAUUAUUGUGGACUAUGAUGUGAUAAACAUAUAUCCAUUAUGUACCUACUAUGGUAAGUUGCUAGUAUUGUGGUAUAUGAAAGGAAGUAUG
rnacentral:misc_RNA from 1 species